UAUCGAAGCAAACACGUUGAAACGAAACAAAGCCUACAAAUUAAAAACUCAAACUCUAACGUCACCUAAUUUUAUGCAACAAAUGAAUUCUCAAAAUUUUC
rnacentral:ribozyme from 1 species